UUAAUUUCUCUUCUAUACUGGAUUAUUUUGACUCCAACAGAAAGGACAGAAAGAGUCCUCUACACUUCUGUCAAAUCCAAAUUAUCACCUGUCCCAAUCUCCCAUCUGAAACCUCACUCUAGGCUAUGCACAAACAAACAAACUGCAGUGAGAAAAUAUAAAGUUACCAUGGUUUAGUUUUAACUUAGAGUGGGGUAAGAACACAGACAAAACUAUCACCAUGGAGCUUCUGACUCCCUGGGUUCUUUUAAAUCACUAAUUUAUUUGUUUGUCCAUAUCCAGACUUCCCUACUGCUGAUCAGCUGAUCGUAAGUGAGCUGAUUGGUGACCGUUACUCCAGUAGCCUGAAGAAGACAUGACCACAGGGUAUAAUGAGGGACUUCCAGUCUAUAUCAGCUUCUAGCAAGUCAAACCCCAACACCCAGAUUUUAAAUAAAGAUCAGCAUUUUUGGACCAUUUAAAAAGAAAGAAUAAAUUUUCUCCAGAAGUAGAAUCUCAUUUUACUAACAUUUUAUUCCAAUUUAAAGUAUUACUGGUUUCAAACGUGAAGCACAUAUAUAGCACGUAUCAGAACAACCAGCAGCGGCUGCAUGCUUUUUAGCUCAGUGCAGCAAGAAUGUUAGUUUUCUAUGCUACUACGCUUUUUUAGCAUCACUAUUCCAUGUGCAUUUGAAAUACUGGGUCUUCGGAAGCAGACCCUAAGUUUUAGGCACAGUAGCAUGCUUUAGGAAGCCAGCCAUGAAAGAAGAUUGCAUAAAAGACUAUGAUAAUGCAACAUAAUGGUUGAGAUUCUUAAACAAACACAUCCAAAAGUAUUACUCUUUUGUUCUCACAGCAAUAGAAAUGCCUUGCUUGGGCCUGAAGACUACUCAGCCUUAUAUCCUAUUCACAACACAAGGAGAAUGGGUGGCGAGUCCUACCACCAGACAAGGGCCAGAACUGCGGGACCUGAAGGUUCCUCGUCAGUUGAGCCAAGAAGGUCUGAAAAGCAGAUGGUGAAAAACGGACACUAGGAAGCCAAGAAAAAAAAAAGGAAAACAACAGGAUCAGAAACAUCAGAGGGAGAGAACCCAAGCCACAAAAACGGAAGAUACAGCAAAGGAAGAAACAAGAACCUUCCCUGAGAAGUGAUAACCAAUUUUGAGGAGAUGGCCCAUUUUCCUCAUCUGGAAGGAAGGUAACUGCCAGUGAAUCCUCUUGGCUGUUACUAUUACAAUCCUCCUGGAGUGAAAGUUGAGUUUUUCCAGAUGGUUCAGCUGAGACCCAGGAACAGGAAACUGAAUGCAAGCUGCCUGCACGUAAUACAGGUUACUGCUACCAAGCAGCCAGGAGUGCUAACAGUUGAGUCAAGUGGGCAGAGUCAACGCACCCCUACGAACUGAAUGAAAGUAUUAAGUAGGAAGCAGUACCAAGGAUGGCAAGGGAAACUCAGGUGUGAUGCCAAGAACACGCUUUGGCAGCUGCAAUUUCAAAAAAAGAAAACAAAUAAAUGAAGUGAUCAGAUUUUUUAAA